CCACAACACACACACACACACACACACACAAAAGAAGAAGAAGAAGAAGUACGUCUUCAGUUCCCUCACCGGAACGCAAAUUUCGGUCAGGAAUCAGUACUAAUGACGGUCAGUGAUAUUCACAAACUGAAAAAAGAUCGCUUCCAAGUUUGAAUCCCAUUGCUAAUAGCGAUGAUUUUUACAAAGACAGAUUUUCAGAGUUGGAAAUUUUGUCAGUAAUUUUUUUUUUUUUUUUUUAAAAGACACUGAAGAAUUUCCAUUUUACUGCAUCAAUUCGUCACCAGAAGGUCAGCAUGCAUGUGAGCGAGUGAACACAAAAACAAGAAUUCGUACUUUCAUAAAAUAAUCCAUUUCCAUUACAGGAGGACUAAUCAUUAUCAAAUGUAAGUCUGCAAUUAAACCAAUAUAGAUUCACAAUUAGAGAUUAUGUCUAAUAAUUUCAAAAAGAGAUGAAAGACUGAUUUUCAGCUGACUAAAUAUUUAAUAUAUAAAGUGCAUGCGCCUACCUCCAUAAUCCCUGUGUGAACUGCUGACACCAUCAGAGGCUGAAUUGGUAGAAAGAAAGCUGAAGCUGCCAUCAGUAACUUUGGGUUCUCAUUUCUAAGUGCCCUAGACAGACACUGCAAGAAGAAUUAAGUCCUGGUUUCUACCUAAGUGAACUGCAGAGCAAAUCAAAUAUAAAACCCCCAAUUUUUACAGACACUAUUAAAAAUAUUCUUAAUAAAUGGGAAAAUCAAAAGAAGAAAUUAACUAGGUUUUCCUUUGUGGCUCAAGUUUAUCACAUUCUAGAUUAUAAACAGAUUAUUACAUUGCUACAAAAAUCACCUUCUUAUUCUUUUUAUUAAUUCAGCCAAUCUCUCAUGGUCUAUUUGGUAGGAUGGAGUCCGAGUCUACAUGACUGGAGAGUAUUACAAAGAAAAAGAAGCUUAAAUCUUGUUCGUUAUACAAUUACCGUCUAUUUCCACUGCAGUCUAAGAGUGCGAACCAAACAUGCACUUAGCAUUUGCCGCACCCUCAGCAGGCUUUAAACAUAAUGUAAGAACAUUCCUUAAUCCCACGCAACAGGCGCAGAAAAUAAAUUCACGUUUUAUAUAUAGCUGCAUCUAUCAUGAAGCAUUUUUUCCAACAUUAAAGCCCAUAA
rnacentral:lncRNA from 1 species